UCUCCUGCAUCCUUCGCAACUGAAACAGACAAGCAUAUUGAUCUGAGUCCCUACACUAAGAAAUCGGGAGCUCUUCAAAUUUCUGCUUCCUCAGACAAAUCAUUUAUGGCAAAUUUAGAAGCAGUCUUGUUCAACAGUUCUCAGAGGGUGUCAGUGUGUCAGCCUUGGCCAAGAUGGGCACAAUGUUGACUCGAUGAUGCAGGGCCCUCAUGAACUCCACAUCUAAGGGUCGGAGCCUGGGGUGUGGGAGGGAGAGAGAGGGCUCCUGGGCCAAUUGUGCUAUAGCUCUCUCCACUACAACAUCCCAAACCUAGACGACUCCAAAGGAACAGAGGCUUUAUUCAGUGCCCCAGACAGAGGAAACAUACCCAUGGCCAAAGGGAGAGAUGAAGUAGAGACAGCAGUGCACCCUGUUAUCCUGAAUGUUCUUACGGUUGAGACCACUUUCAUCCCGGAAAUACUGUUCAAAUUGCUGGUCGAUGUAAUCUGCCACUGGCUUCCAGCUGGGGCAGGGUUGCACAGACAAAAGCAUGGAGGUCUCAUGAACACUUGUUGGUUUAUGCUUUCCCCAAACAUGUAUUAAAUACCUACUAUGUAUGGA